AUCCUUUUGUAGGUCAUAAGUCUGAUGCAUGGGUGUUCACGUGAAUGUUGCGCCUCCCUCAAACCUUGUUUUAACAGCCAUUUUCUAUUGAUU
ensembl:snoRNA